rnacentral:rRNA from 1 species
GACGAACGCUGGCGGCGUGCUUAACACAUGCAAGUCGAACGAAGAGCGAUGGAAGCUUGCUUCUAUCAAUCUUAGUGGCGAACGGGUGAGUAACGCGUAAUCAACCUGCCCUUCAGAGGGGGACAACAGUAGGAAACGACUGCUAAUACCGCAUACGAUCUAAUCUCGGCAUCGAGGAUAGAUGAAAGGUGGCCUCGACAUGUAAGCUAUCACUGAAGGAGGGGAGUGCGUCUGAUUAGCGAGUUGGAGGGGUAACGGCCCACCAAGGCGAUGAUCAGUAGCCGGUCUGAGAGGAUGCACGGCCCCAUUGGGACUGCGACACGGCCCAGACUCCUACGGGAGGCAGCAGUGGGGAAUCUUCCGCAAUGGACGAAAGUCUGACGGAGCAACGCCGCGUGAGUGAUGACGGCCUUCGGGUUGUAAAGCUCUGUUAAUCGGGACGAAAGGCCUUCUUGCGAAUAGUGAGAAGGAUUGACGGUACCGGAAGAGAAAGCCACGGCUAACUACGUG